UAUUUUUUAGAUGAAUAUUCAGUAUGAAAAUCAAUCGAAACUGCUUGCAAAAUUUUCAAAUAUUGCUACGAACAAAAAUUACAAAUAAUGUAUUUAUUGGAUUCACAAAAAAUUAACACAGAUGCGGGGUUUUCAGGCAGUUCACUGAUUCCAGGACCUAUACGAUAUAUGACAUUACUUGUACAUGUUAAUGGGGCUUCCUCCUGAAACUGCAACCUUCAGUAAGCCUAGCUUUACCACCAGUGGAUGUGCAGAGAAUGGUUGAACAACCCUUGCAUGCUACAG